GGGGAAUAUUGGGCAAUGGGCGCAAGCCUGACCCAGCAACGCCGCGUGAGGGGAGAAGGUCUUCGGAUUGUAAACCUCUGUCCCCCAGGACGAAAAAAGUGACGGUACUGGGGGAGGAAGCUCCGGCUAACUACGUGCCAGCAGCCGCGGUAAUACGUAGGGAGCGAGCGUUGUCCGGAAUUACUGGGCGUAAAGGGUGCGUAGGCGGCAAUGCAAGUCAGAUGUGAAAUCCCCGGGCUUAACUCGGGGGGUGCAUUUGAAACUGCAGUGCUUGAGUGCAGGAGAGGAAAGCGGAAUUCCUAGUGUAGCGGUGAAAUGCGUAGAUAUUAGGAAGAACACCAGUGGCGAAGGCGGCUUUCUGGACUGUAACUGACGCUGAGGCACGAAAGCGUGGGGAGCAAAC
rnacentral:rRNA from 1 species